rnacentral:sRNA from 1 species
AAACCCCGGGUCUUCGGCAUGCGGGUGCGAGCGUUCGGGCUCCAGCGUUCGGGCUCAGCCCUUGCGCUCUGCGCCGGUCGUCCCCCGUGUCCGAUUCUGAUGCCGCGAGGCUCGAUGGCCGGCACCGCUCGAUGGCCGGCACCGCUCGAUGGCCGGCACCGCUCCAUGACGGCACCGCUCCAUGACGGCACCGUUCGAUCAGGCGGUCCUGCUCGGUCGAGCGGUCCCGCGCUCGAUGCCCGCGCCGCGUCGGUUUCACGUCUCAGCCGGAUCCUGAACGGUGCCGACUCAGCGGCC